rnacentral:rRNA from 1 species
GACGAACGCUGGCGGCGUGCUUAACACAUGCAAGUCGAACGGUAAGGCUCCAGCUUGCUGGGGUACACGAGUGGCGAACGGGUGAGUAACACGUGGGUGACCUGCCCUGCACUUCGGAAUAAGCCUGGGAAACUGGGACUAAUACCGGCUAGGUACGCACCGUGAGGGGGUGGUGGAAAGUUUUUUCGGUGUGGGAUGGGCCCGCGCCCUAUCAGCGUGUUGGUGGGGUAAUGGCCUACCAAGGCGGCGACGGGUAACCGGCCUGAGAGGGUGGACGGCCACAAUAGGACUGAGACACGGCCCAGACUCCAACGGGAGGCAGCAGUGGGGAAUAUUGCACAAUGGGCGGAAGCCUGAUGCAGCGACGCCGCGUGGGGGAUGACGGCCUUCGGGUUGUAAACUCCUUUCACCAUCGACGAAGGGUUUCUGACGGUAGAUGGAGAAGAAGCACCGGCUAACUACGUG